rnacentral:tRNA from 1 species
CUGAAAUUCUACUUAAACUAUUCCUUG